AGGAGGCAGCAGUGGGGAAUUUUGCGCAAUGGGCGAAAGCCUGACGCAGCAACGCCGCGUGAGUGAUGAAGGCUUUCGGGUCGUAAAGCUCUGUCGAGGGGAAAGAAGUGUACUUUGGUUAAUACCCAUUGUACUUGACGGUACCCCUAAAGGAAGCACCGGCUAACUCCGUGCCAGCAGCCGCGGUAAUACGGGGGGUGCAAGCGUUGUUCGGAAUUAUUGGGCGUAAAGCGCGUGUAGGCGGUUUGAUUAGUCUGAUGUGAAAGCCCUGGGCUCAACCCAGGAAGUGCAUUGGAUACUGUCAGACUUGAAUACGGGAGAGGGUAGUGGAAUUCCUAGUGUAGGAGUGAAAUCCGUAGAUAUUAGGAGGAACACCGGUGGCGAAGGCGGCUACCUGGACCGAUAUUGACGCUGAGACGCGAAAGCGUGGGUAGCAAACAGGAUUAGAUACCCUGGUAGUCG
rnacentral:rRNA from 1 species